rnacentral:lncRNA from 1 species
AGCGAACCUUGUCUGAGAGAAGACAGCUUAAAGUCCAAAGUACACGGCCUGAGCAGAGCCCACGGCCGACGACACACUCCCAGCCAAGGAGGAAGCAUGGGGACAGGGAGCGGGACUGGGAGACCGGGAAUGGCGGGGACGUUUGAAAGAAGGAGAAGGAGCCGCUGGGGCGCGGGAUUCAGAAGGAUAGGAUCAUGGUGGCGGGGGAGGCGCUGGAUUAGGGUUGCCCCGAACCCCGUUCUCCUUAGCUCCGCUCACGUGGGGGCUCUGACAUGCCAGUCUUCACUCGGGGACCCCGGGACUAACGGGGAUGGGACGCGCGCCCGAACUCCUUCCCCUGCCGCUCGAGAGCGCGAAGGGCGCAGGGACAGCGUGGGAAGGAACACUGGCCGCGGGGACCCGGCUGACGAGGCCUCGGGUCUUCACUCGGCAGCCCACCCAGCUGCCAUUUUGUAACGCGGCCG